UACGUAGGGUGCAAGCGUUAAUCGGAAUUACUGGGCGUAAAGCGUGCGCAGGCGGUUCGCUAAGACCGAUGUGAAAUCCCCGGGCUUAACCUGGGAACUGCAUUGGUGACUGGCGGGCUAGAGUAUGGCAGAGGGGGGUAGAAUUCCACGUGUAGCAGUGAAAUGCGUAGAGAUGUGGAGGAAUACCGAUGGCGAAGGCAGCCCCCUGGGCCAAUACUGACGCUCAUGCACGAAAGCCAGGGGAGCAAACGGG
rnacentral:rRNA from 1 species